rnacentral:rRNA from 1 species
UACGUAGGGGGCUAGCGUUGUCCGGAAUCAUUGGGCGUAAAGCGCGCGUAGGCGGCCCGGUAAGUCCGCUGUAAAAGUCAAAGGCUCAACCUUUGAAUGUCAGUGGAUACUGCCGGGCUAGAGUCCGGAAGAGGCGAGUGGAACUCCUGGUGUAGCGGUGGAAUGCGCAGAUAUCGGGAAGAACACCCGUGGCGAAGGCGGGUCUCUGGGCAGUAACUGACGCUGAGGAGCGAAAGCGUGGGGAGCGAACAGG